UUAGGGGGCUGUAUUUCCUAAAGCUAAGAAACUUCUGCUAUUCACAAGGCUUCCUUUUUGAGUAUAGUUAUAUUUUUCCAUAGACAUGUGUUUGCAUAGUAAUUGGUCCUGUUUUUUUUUUUUACUCAGUUACAUAGAUUAACAUAAUGUAGCAACAUAGAAGCUUACAAAAUACAGUUAGUUUAUGAUAUUUAUUUUCCAGUGUACAUGAAGUCAGCUUAUGUUGUCUGAUUAAAGUCAUGCCAUAGUCAUUGUUCUGAUGUUCUGUGUGUUAUCACAGAAAACGAGCCACCAGUGUUUCACACUUAUCAGUCCAGUCUGAAGACAUUCUAUGGAAAGAAUUUAGUCUAUCAGUUCUCAGCCAAUGAUCCAGAGGGCUCUGCAGUUCUAUUCACACUCAAGCCGGACCCAGAGACGUUGUUCUGUCUCCAGCUGGGCUGCUCAUCUGGAAAGCUCUGUCCUCCACACCGGUGACCUUUGAACUGGCUGUAAUUGAUGACUGUAAUGCAGAGACACAUGCAGCAGUGAAGGUGAGAUCUAGAAGCCACACGGUAAGAUGUUGCUUCUACAAAAAUGUGCACAUAAAGUCUUUAAAGUUCAUAUCGACUGAUGGAAAUACAGUUUUGUGUCUGCAAUGUUGUCCACAAGGUGGCACCAAAUGGCUUCCAAAAAGGUUUUUGAAUCCUUAGCUCAGUAUAACAGUUUUAUAAUGUAUAUAUUGCCAAUAAAUAAUUGGAAUAAUUCUAUAUUUAUAGUUUUGUCAAAAUAUACUGUCAGAAUAGAAUCUUUUCUCAAGUUUUCCCAAGUGACCCCCGUUUUAUAAAUGCUGGAAAGUUACGAUAACCUUAUAUUAUACAAAGACUAGUAGUUUAGAGAUCAGCUGAAUGAAGAAAAAUUUAAUGCUGAGCACCCUUUAAUGCUGAAGCUGUGUGCCGUUACCCUUGUGGUCAGAAUAUGGAGUGCUCCCAGCCCAACACUUGUACCUGUAAAGAGGGUCACACUGGAUACAACUGCCACAUCGUUGUGUGCCGACCAGACUGCAAGAACAAAGGGAAGUGUGUGAAGCCCAAUGUGUGUGAAUGUCCUGCAGGGAAAAUGGCCCCACCUGUGAGGAAGGUGAACUCUGUCUUUAGUAUCUUACCGCACACUGACAUUUACAGAUUCAUACAUAUAACCAUUUUCUUUACAGCUUUACAUAAUAUGCAUGUUAAAGCCAUCUUAAUUUUGCCUUAAUUGUCUCUUCGAAUUGAGUAGAAUAUAUCUAAAAUUUAUUGAGAUUUUGAUUGCCAUAUGCAUUUUGUCCUUGAGCUGAAUACCUACCUCUAGUGUUGCAUACCGGUCACUGAACCUAAAUAAUACCUGUAGGGUCCUGCUUAAAGGGAUGUAGUAGUCAGCCUAAGAUGCCUGUCAGUUAAUACAAACAAUUGUCCAACCACAUGCCGGUAGGUUGCUUUGUGAGAGAGGAAACUCUAAAUGGAAAUAAAUGGAUUAUACAUACCUGAAGCGUGUUGGUU
ensembl:lncRNA